rnacentral:lncRNA from 1 species
CGCCACCGCGCAGCGCCCGCCCUUCCACGGCGGCGGGGCGGAGCCGGGCGGGCAGAGGCAAUGCGCAUGGGCCCCGGUGCCGCACGGAGCCUUUCUCUGCGCCGGGGAGCGUGCUCGUAAGGGGGGUGUGUGCCGGUUGGAUGCGGUUCCCCCUCCCGGAGCGUCCUCCGGCGGCUCGGCGCCCGUCGCCUCUUCACCUGUCCGGACGGCGGCCAUGGCGGCGGCACGCGGCUGGUAGACGGCGGGGAGGGCCUCCGCUGCGGCGGGGCGAGGUGAGAGCGGGGCGGAACGCUGCGGGGAGGAGUGGGGGGUGGGGGGCUUUGUCAGCGCCGACGGCCGCGCUGCCUCUCGGGGCCGCGUCUGCUCCGCGCGGGGAGCGAAGGAACGGCUCCGCGCGGCUCCAUCUCCUGCCCGUGGGUUCCUGAGAUUAUUGUCCUUGAUUUGUUUUUUUUUCUCCCCUUUCCAUCGGGAAUCGGCGCGGUCGGUCCGCGCGUGCUCACCGUCGCGCGGCGCGGAGGCGGUGGGAAGGAGCGGAGCGGAGCGCAGCGCACAGCUGCACGCGCGGGGCUCCGUGCGCCGCUCCCCGGAGCGCAGAGCUGCGCCGCUGCCGCCCGCCUCGUGCCGGAGCCUCCGUUGUGCUCAGAGCCCUUUGUGCGGCGGGUGCGCGGCCCUUCAGAGCCGUUUAGAGCCCCCCCCGAUGCGGGGGGAUUCCCGCACGCACCGGGGCUGCCCGCGGACUGCAGGCGGUGUGCCUCGGGAAGGGCGUUGGGUGCGCGGGGUGCUCCGGGCUGGGUGGCCUCCCUGGUUGGCUCAGCGCUCCGUGCGGUGGGGAUGGCGAUGUUGGGUCUUCAAAGGGAGGACCCGUAGUGCUGUGGGUGAAUUGUGGCUUCAGCAAAAGGUCAGGUAUGCCUUGGAGCUUGGGAGCGUGUUCCCAGCUAGAUUGCUGGUUUCAUAGAGCUGUUUGAGUCAGAAGGGACACAAAGGCCGUCUGGUCCCAGUCCCCGCAAUGCACAGAGACACCCACAGCCCCAUCUGCUGCUCAGAGCCCCAUCCCUGACCAUGGCUGUCCGCAGGGAUGGGGCACUGCUGCCUGUGCCCGUGUGCCCCUGCCGCCCCAUCUCUUUCUCCGCAGUGAAUCUAUCUCAUAUCUCAGUCUUCUGCUCCAUACCGGAUUGAUGGCUUUCUAAUUACAAGGGGGUGAUAGGAUCAAAUCAUCUUUUGUUGUGCUUCUGUACUUUCCACAUGAGGUAGUGCAGAAAACAGCACUUUGGACAGAGACUUGGACGGCCUCUGCUGUGGGUGGGAGUCCCACUUUGUGGUGUUGGCCAAUACUGUCACUGGGAAGAAUGCAAUUCAUUGGAAUACAUGAAAAGGCAAGGAGGUACAACCUUAAAAUAUGCUAUUUCUUUUCAAGAAAGAGAGAUAAGAAUGGAGAGAUCCAAAAAUGGCACUCCUUUCAGCAUGGAGCAGGAUGGUGGAGCUUUGGAGACCACGAUAAGAGUAUCUGCCAAGUGUGGGAAUUCUGAGGGCACAGUUACCUUUUCCACAGAAUAGGGAUGAAUGCUCUACACAGACUUGUUUUGUGUCAUGCAAUUUCUUUCCUGCUGCACAGAUGUCUCCUCAUUGUAGUUUAGCAAAAUUAGGUUAGGCUUGACUGAACAAUUUAUUUUGACUGGCAAGUAAAUUAUUAUAUGUUCUUUAUGAGAAAGAGCAAGCAAAUUGUUCUUGUGAUUGGAAUGAUUUGUUUUCAUGAGGCUUACCAAAGGUAUUAUGGAGUAUCAGAGCGUGCACCCUUCUAUGUCUGAUGGUUUUAUGAAGUUUAAAUGCACUGGAGCCAUCCGGGGGAAACAUUUUAUUGCUUUGAGGACGUUGAGCUAAUGGGAAAUAGGAAAAUGGAGAGGCUCUGAUGUGCUCCUUGUUACCCCUAUUAUUUGGGGGAUACAAUGGAACUGAAAGUAUUAAUAUGAAAUUAAUAAUGUACAGAAAUAGUAGUUCAUUGCCAGAAGCAAAUGGCUGUUAAAUAGUUCAGCCUGUAAUCUUGAUGUGGGAUUUGUUUAUUCAAGUAUGUUUGUCAAGUUUUUGGAGGUGCAAAGGGUAUCUGAGGCAGGCCAGCAAAACUGCCAUUGAGGGGAUGGAUUUUCUAGGGUUGUAUGUUUGUUUGAAGCUGAAUGUUGCAGUGUUGUUGUGUAUCUUUAUGGUAGACUGGGAGGUAUCCAUAUCCCAGUUCUGAACGUUCUGUUUUCCUGCAGCCCAAGUUGGGGAAGUACAGUGAUGUCAUUGAGUUUUCCUUCUGGAAAAGAAACGUUACUUUACCAUUUAAAUGCAUUGUUUGCAUGCAGCUUCUGCUCCUGCUGUGGGGACGAUUCCAGUCAACUUCCCCCAUUUCCAAACAAACAGGUCAGGCACAGUGCUGUUUUCAUGCACACAUUCCAUGUGGUUUUUGGGAUCUCAGUACACCUAUUUCCAAAAAUAGGAGUGUUUUUCCUAUUUUAUUAUGGCUAGAGGUGUUUGUGUAAAUGACAAAGAUUGCUGUGGGUUCCCUUGGCCUUUGCUUCCUCCUUCCUACAGACGAGAGGAAGAUGUUGGCCUCUGCGUGAACUGGGCGAUUAUUUUGCUUUGCAUUUCCUCUUAGCACGGUCUCAUCAAUGAUGCUAUUGUCUCACAGCUGUUGGCUCCAUCCCAUUUUGGGUGAUCCCGGGGUACGGGGCGGGGGGAGAUACAAAGAAACGUGGGGAAAUCUGGAAGUUUUGCAUACGGACGCCUGGGCUGAUUGCUCUCCUGGGCUGUGCCGCGGCUGCUGUCGGGUGCCCGUGGGCACAGCUCCAUUCCGCGCAGUACGGUGCCUCGGCCUGGUACUGCUGAUGGAGGGGUUCUGUGCGCAGGGCAGAGCUGAGCUCGUUCUCCUCCCGUGCACGACUUGGAAGCUGUAAGGUGAGCACACGUGGUGCCUUCCGUACCUGCCUUGAAAGCUGUUCCGUGUCGCCGUUGCGAUUGCGGUGGCUGCCCCAGGGCCGUCUGUAAUGCCGUAAUGUGAACGGAACAAACGACAGUGUUUCUCAACUUAGAACAUCAGCAGCUAUUUUCGCUGGGGGGGAAAAAAAAAAUAAGUCAAUUUAGUACCUGGGGUGAAGCAGGUCCUCCGGUCCGGCCGGUCUGAGGAUGUUAAUUUUCAUAGCGAUUGCCAUUGUGAUGCUAAUAUCGGAGCUGUCUGGCUGUGCGCCCUGAGCCAAAGGCACGGGGGAUGUGCGUGCCGUGGGCACUAAGGAGAAGCAUCUUAUUACCAGCCAGCUAUUGUUGUGGAAAUGAGGUCUUCCAGCCAACCAGCGCUUGGAGGAUGGCAUAACCCGAGGAGGUCCAGCUGCAGGUCAGCAGUCACCGCCUUAUUUCGAGCUUGUCUGGUUGAAACUGUUUCUUUUCAGUGUUAGUUUUGCGUGUGUUUGUUUUUAACUCAUAGCUGGAAACAAAUUGCUGUCAUUGAACAGUUAAGGCUGGGAAACUUGAGGGCAUUUCAAUUUAUUGUGUUGGGUGGGAAGUGUAGGAAGGCAGAGGAGCUGUCAGUCUGUCGAUGCAGUGAUGUGAAUUCUGCUUUUCUUGCCGACUUGCUGUGCUUCUCUGCCACUUCUUCUGCAUUGCCUCCGUUCUAUCUAUGCAAAACACUCCAGAUGUGCAGAUGAUGUGGCACUCCACGUGCAUGUGCCACUUGGAAACAGGUAAAAUCAGGCUUACUCAGGGCGUGUAUUUAAGUCCCAGAAACUGUUUUAGAAACUCUAAGUAAUGGAAAAGUCUGAGGGCUCCAGGUGCUUUGUGGCAGAUAACGCAUGCUGUGACUGGACUUGGAUCUCCUCCUGUGAGGGUUCCUGCUGACCUCUGCCAUACACAUACAGUGUGGGCUGGGGCUGCUUCUGAGCACAUUACAAAGCAUUGGUGUAUUCCAGUUAUUUGGUGCUUUCUGUUCCUGGAGUCUGUACGUAUACUUGAUUGCUGUGUCUGUGUGUUCAUAGCAUCGCGUUAUUUGGAAGUGGCUAAAUUAAUUAAAAACUGCCAUUUGAAGUAUUUAGUAAAUUGGAUUUGCUUUCCCAGCAGUGGACAGGAAGUUAAUCGUGUCUAAGCUGAUGUUGACUUCUGCAAUCUGAUUUUCCCUGCAAAGAAACUUUAUUACCUAGUUGUUAAAUGCACACUUAAUUAGGCGUUGAUUGUUUAAGCUGAUAAACCAAUGCUACCAGGUUUGCUGUAAUCAGUUUGGUAAAUAUGCCAUGCAUACACUUCCUUAUGUUUUGUUUUUUAAUGAAGCACAAUGUUAGCUACCUUCAUUCUAAUUAUUUGAGUAUAUUUUGAUUUAUUGUUUUUCAGGUGAUGAUUAUGACGUUGAGCUGUUGGCAUGCACUGGAUGUUCUCUUGCUGUUUACUGACACAUGUAAAUCUGGGUUUUAUAGCCUCAUCUGUGGAUGUUAUAACAGCAUGGCUCCACUGCCCCUCUUAUAACCCAUAGCUUAGGAGAAAGGUACAUCCAGAUCUCCUCCUUUGAAGGAGCCCAUGCUCAGUUUGUUUUGUUUUCAUAGCCAAAUUGCAGCCUUUGGAGCAAAUCCUGUUGCUGUAGCUUGAAGUCUCCAGCUGAAGGGACAGUUCAGCAUUAAUUGCCGAUCAAUGAUUCAUUCAUCCUCUUGUCAUCUUAAUUGCUCUCUCUGAGGAAGAAUAGAAAAAAAAUGAAUUGAUUUAAGUGGGAAGCCCAUCCUUCUGAGUCUGUGCUAUAGUGUGGUAAGAAGUAUGAUUUAGUGGCUCAAUCCUCAGCGGAGCUUUGUGGUGUCUUUAGAUGGAGCUCUCUGCCACAUCCCCUUUGUGCCCAUCCCCUGGCACUGCUGCUUUGGCUUCACUGAGUCCUCUCUGGAAGCUGCAGUGCUUCCCCUCCAUCUCCUCCCAGAGUGCCCCUUCUUUUGCCUUUCCAGACCUCAGCCUUCCAUCUUUAUGGAUGGAAAAGCAUUGAUUUGGAGUAUGCAUUAAUAACCCUUUUAAGAAUUAGAGGAAAAACUGGGUUUAAUUCAUUAAACCAGGAUGAUAAGUAGUUUGAGCCUGCCUUUAUGGGGAUUUCAGGAUAAAAUGAAGUGCUUUAACAUCCCUGAGGUUUUUUGUUGGAUGCAGGGUCUCUUGGUCAGCCACAGCCUGAGAUAUGGCCCUGGAUUUCUGUCUGUGGGUUUGCAAUGUGAGUGUCACAGAACGGAGCGCAGUGUGUGGAUAAACUCACUGUGAUGGUUCAGGUUUAUCUUGUGUGCUUCUGUUUACUUCUAAGGAGGCUUUAUACCAGAUCAGCAAACUGUCAGUGCUGUGUUAUUCUUGGUUUGGUCUUUUACUGGCUCUUAUUCCUUGCACAAAGCAGGCGAACGCUUCUUCCAGACAAAGUGUGCUCAUGGGACGUCCCAUAAUGUGAAUCGAACCCGUGUUGUUGGGUAAUUCAGCAGCACAGAUGUGGUGCUAUUCCCACAGCCAUAAUCCCACAGUGCAGAACAGAGAAGGUGACAGUGAUGUAAUGACUGCUGGUGAGUUGCUUUUAAGAUGCAGGGACGGAAGGUGGUGUUCUAAAAGCUUUGUCAUCCCUUACUGGCAGAUUGAGAUAAUCAGUAGUGCUCAAAAUAACUGUCAGGAAGGUGCUGCGUUCUUAUAACUCACUUGAGAAUUCCUAUUUCUUCAAGAAAACCGUGUUUAAUGUUUUGUGUAUCUCAUUACCUGAGUUAUGCUUAGCAGUGGCUAAAGAAGUGUCUAUUAAAAUGAAGUCUUGCUUUUGCUUUGGUUACAAUGCUUGCUAGCAGUGGAUAGGUAUGCAUUCUGACCUCGGUAUUCAGAGUGUGCAAGGUGCAUGCAAGUGCUCUGGGGGGGGAAAUGAGAGGUACAGCCCUUUGUGUUGUGAAAGCAAUCUGGUGUCUUUUGGUGCUAAUGUGAGAGCAGAAGUGACAGCGGGAUUUGGAGAACUAAGGGGCCUGGCUUGAAUUCCUUGCAGCUGGAGAAACUGGAAUAUCCCGACUUGGAAGGGACCCUUAAGGGUCUUUGAGUCCAACUUGUAUGGAAGAAGGCAGCUAGAGAGCCCUUCUUUGAGCAUAGCUUUACUUAUUACAAGAGCCUUUGGGUGUUUGUUGGGAUUUACCCUUUUCCUCCUUCUUAUGAAUAUCUUCAUUGGACUUCAUAAUAGCCAGCUUAUGUGUUGUAGCCUGAAGGCGUGAUAUAUUAAACCAAAAGGGGGGAGGGAAGGGGAUAUCUUUUGUGAAUAGAGUUGCACGGGAAGCAUCUUCAGAGAGUAAAUUCCCAAUCCAAUAGGAACCAUUGAUUUGUAUUUCAGUUGCUACUUCCAGUGACUUGUCCUAUGGUUAUCAGCUCAUCCCUCACACCCUGGCUGUGUUAUAAGAAAGGCAGCAUUUGGGUGUUACUGUUUUCAAUGUGUAUACAUAUGUAUGUGUGUUACUUUAGAGCUGCUGACAGAUCUCACUUUUGCACUAAUAUAUAGAAUGUGUUCACUCAUCUGAACUCGUGAAUGAGUUUUAAUUUAAACGUAUCUGUCUUUUGACACAGUUUGUACAGCAGAGCGCAUUGAUUCUUCCUCACUUGUAGCCAUGUGCAGCGUGAUGUGUUUGCUGGAGGUCGGUUCAAUAGCUGACUGCAUCAGCAGUUGUAUUUCACAAGAAGUUCUGAUAAUUUAUUCCUGAAGUGCAAAUGAGAUUCUGUAGUCCUCCAGCUGAAUGAUGCAUAAGGCAGCUUCGUGUGGAAAGCGAGGUCCCUGCUAACUGCUGCAGCCCGUUUCAUUGAAGAAACAGGAACAAAAGUUUGUUUGUAACUCUGCUGGAGUGGAGAACAAAGGCUUUGGGGACCUUUGAACCUCUGUGGCUGUGCAUCUGAAGGAGGAAUUGUUCAGGAAUGGGAAAAACUGCCAGAAGAGCAGAGCUGUGCGUUCCCCUCCAUCUUCCUGCAGCAGGGUUUAAUGACCACAUUUAAAGGAAGAAAAGUAAUUAAUUGGAAGACUUCUUACUUGCUCUUCCUACCGAGCUCUGGUUUGAUUCCCAACCAUGCAGGGAUGGUUAUUCUAUCAGUUUUUGUUUUUACUUUGCAUUGAGCCAAGGUUUCUUUUAAUUACUAUUAUUUUUAAUGAUUGUAUUGGCUUCUUCCUUCUCGUUUCUUGCAGAAACCUCACUGGUUGAUUACAUACUCAGAUGUUUGCUUUUUUGGCUGUUGUUCCCCUGUGCAUGUUUGCAUCCUCUGCAAGUAAUUCUGGCCCAGGGAGCUCUUUGUUUCCCCUCUUUCUGACUGCACUCUCAUUCCACGAUUGCUUUUCACUCUGUGGUGGUCAUCUCUCCAAGGAAGACAGGAAGGAAUGAUCAGUGCUCUGAAGGAACUGCUCCUUCUGCAUGGUGUGCUGCCUGGCACUCUGCGGGUUGCAGUCUCCAUUGGUUCUGCAUGUGUGUUGCAUGGCUGGGUGGCAGCUGGAUUGAAGUUCAUUCUGAUUUUUGUGCUGUCUGUUCACUUUGCUUUGCAGUUGGCCCAAAUGGUGAGCUAUUGCAGACGUUUUCUGUUGCUUCUUAAAACUCUUGUCCUCUUUGCAGCCUUUGCUUGCAGUCUCUGUAAGGUUAGGCUGUGCUAAAGGGAAGCUCAACCUCGUGUCUUGCAGUGUGUGAAGCCUGGCUCCUCAGCGUGCUGCUGAGCUGUAUAACAGUUGUGCUGUACCUCUGAAGCUCCCUACAGCAUUAUAGGUGUUGCUUUACUUCUUGCUUCUCCCUCUGAUAGAUGCACAGCAAGCUGAACUACUCAAAUCACCUUUCAUUUUUAAUAAGAUUUCACUGUGCAAAGUGCUCUUUAUCUGAUACUUCAUCAGUUAUCCACGGAGCAGUUGUAAAGUGAGUAACAAAUCCAAUAGAUCCUGGGCCAUUCAGGUCCAUAGACAUGCUGUAUUAAUUUGUGGGUAAUGCAGCUGUCUGGAGUAGCACUGGGAGGCUUUCUGGGCACAUUCACCUACGUUACAGGGAAACCUUCCCUGCUUUCCAUCACUCAGCACAGGUACCCCUUGCAUUUCCUUUUGUCAAACACCAGGUUUAGGAGUGAAGCCAUGGUUAACUCUUCUGAUUAAAACAGGAAAUGCAAACGUAUAGAUUGGUGUUAUAGAAAACUUAAUUUGUCAGCUCUUAUCUCUGGAGGAUGUGUGUGGAGGAGGGCUGCCAUAUGGCUGCUAAAUAUAACACAACUUUCUCCUGCGAGCAUUCAGAAAAGUACAGAAGUUUGCAAUCUGCUAUCUGUGUUUUUAAUAGGAAAGUGCUGCAGAUUUUCAGAACCUUCUGAGUGCAAACUGAGGUGAUGGGAACGGAGCCAACAAGUAAUGUAAUAAAAUGCAAGCGUUUCCUGAGGAGGUGAUGCUGGCUGACAUAGGGGUGAGGUGCUCAGCAUCUUGCAGAUGCCCGUCCCUUUGUUAGCAGUUUCUGUAAAGCAAGGUGGUGAUGCAGGCUGGGUGAUGUCAGCUGUCAGUGCUCCCUGCCCUCUGGCUCCAAUAGCUGCCAUUCUUACUCGCUUUAAGCAUCUGCACUGUUACAUCCCUGCGCUGAGUGCUGGAGGACUUGGGCUCCUCCUGCAGCUGUUUGAACAGGGGAAGCACAGCUUGGGUGUGGGCAUCCCAGAUUUGUCUUCAAAAAAAGUUCUUGUUAAUUUACCCAGCUUUCGUGUUUGCUGGACGUGCUGCCAAGACACAGAUGAUUCCAUGUUUUAAGAACACAAAUGUAAUUGAAAUAUGGUCACGUUUCUAGUAAGUGAUUUAAUGUGUGGGUAUGUGUCCAUUUGGAGCUAAUGAAGCCCAGCAGUGCAUGUUCUGCAGCACAGUGUUUCUGCUUAGAUUUCAGCAGUGGACAUUUCUGAAAAGCCUUUUGCCUGUAUGUCAGUCAUGUUCUGGUGGGGAAAAGCCUAUGAAGAAAAGCAGAGCUCCAAAGCAAUCUAGAUGUAAUGACUUCUCCGUCCCUGUGCUUCUUCUGGAGCUUCAUGUAACAAACUGUAUAAUCUAAUAGCUAAGGAUGUGUUAUUCUGGGCAAGCUUUGACAGCUGAAGUGGAGAUUUAAUGAGUUUUGAAUGGAAACAACCAAAGUAGGUGCUGAAUUUCUGAUUUAGCCAUUCUGAAGUGCUUUGCUAAUGUUAGCAUGCGAGCAAUUCUAGGGCUGCACAUAGGAUAAAAGGUGCUGCUGAAAUAUCUGAUAGGAAGAGCUUAUCCUGGAAGGGAAUCAGAAGAGAAACUGUACUGGUUGUGUUCCUUAAGGCCCUUAGACUAUUUCAAAGGGAUGGGUAUAGUUUUACUGAUGGGGUUUUGGUGACUAAAAAUGCAGUCAGGCAAAUCCCAGCUUGUUGGGGCAGGGAGAGUUCCUUUGUGCACUUGAGUACAUGUGUGCUUUCACUGCUUUCUCUGUGAAGUUCAAUUGCAGGCAACAAAAAUGCACUUUGUUGUUCUUUAAUAAUAAAUAACAGCGCAGCAGUUUUGAUCUUCAAAGCACUGCUCAGACCUUAAUUAAUCUUCAUAAUAGCGCUUUGGGAGAAUUAAAAGUGCUCCCUGUGCUAUUGGAUGAGGAGCUCCUUAACCUGGAGAUGUGAGAGGGUUUGCUUGGGCUGUGUUGCAGUGGUGCUGGGAUGGUUGCUCUGAGGUUCCUGGCAGUGCUCCUCAAUUCUGUGCUGCUGCUCUCACGGAUGUGUUACAAUUUGCACAGAAAUCAUAAAGAAUUGCAGCAGUAACUUUCUUCUCUUUUUAUGCAUAGCUUUGAAUUGCCAUCCGAGUGUUACCACUUAUGCAUAUGCACGUUGGAAUUCCCCUUUGGAUGUUUCCAUAGGUACAACAUGGUGUAGGUUUGUGUGUGUGCAUGCCAAGAGCAGGGGUGCAGAACUGCACCUUAGAAAACCUGGCUCACAACUUUUUUAUUGCAGGAAUGGCAAAUAGAAGAAUAUACAGCCCUGGAUAGAAAGCAGCUCUGUCACCCUCCUCUAAUCUGCCUCGUUCUUUAUCAGGUUUAAAAUAAGGAGGAGGAAUUAAUACAGGUGCCCAGUUUUCAAAGCUUUUCAUAGGUAAUUGUUAAUUUGCAUUAAAGAGCACAUUCUGGUCUGAAUGCCUGUAGCAUACAUUUGGAGACUGCGGUAAGAGCAGCAGACCAAAACUGAGGCUGUCCAACUGAUCUGCAGAAACAGUCCAUAGAGCUUACCACGGAAAGGCAGCCAUCUCUCCAAACAGUCCUACAUGGAGCCAGUGUUCAUGGCUGUGUUAGAUUCUGGCAUGGCAGAACCAAGGACAGGCUGCUUAAUUCUGUUCCAAAAUGCAGAAUAGUUUUACAUGUCCAGGGAUGCUCCAAUAUAACGAGCAGCCCCUGAUUGGCGUUUCUGCAAUGAGCUCCAGCUUUGACAGCAGGCUCCGUAACUUCUGCUGGUGGUUGCACUCAAUUUGCAUGAGGAAUGAAUGUGGGCCUGUGUUGCAAAGCAGAACGUUGACAGCCGGUUAAACAAGUUUGAGGAGUUCUUAAGUACGAAGGGCAAAGUCAGCAGAAUCCCAUAACUGAUGCCAGAAAACUCUGUUAGACUUCACCUGGUGACCUCAUCAUCUCAGAGGAACGUGCUGACAGCAUGGUGCCCCAGCUCUGUUUGGGUGAUGGGCUUUCCAGCAUCCCCUGCUGUGGUCCAGGAGCUGCUCGUUAUUUGGUGCAUGCAUCCCAAGGGGGAAUCUGCACUCUUUUAGUUUCCUAGAAAUGCAAUGAGUUCAGCUGGCUGAGGGGUAGCUGUGAAUACUGAUUUGUUUUGAAUAGAGAAUGCAAAAUGUCCUCGGGAGGCUGUGAAGUUUUCAGGCUUCGGAGCUAUCAGGUUUUUGUGCUUUCAUAAACCCCAUAGAAAUUCUUAUUAGCAAAAAAAAAAAGUUUUGCAGCUGUGUUUUUCCUGUGUUAGGUUUAGGAGUUCCGUUCUUCUGGUUUUUUGAUAGGUAAAACCUUCAACGUGUGAGAACUGCAGUCUUGUAAUGUAUGAAAGGCAUCACCUCAAACCUUCUGCUGCCUCCUAUUUAAAUGCCUCACUGGGGACUGGAAGCACUGAAAUGUUCAGGCUGGUAAGUUGGGCAUCAACAGAUGAGUGGGGAAAAUGACUCGUGCACUGUAGUUUCUUACACAGAGUGGCCAAAAGGAAAUGUCUUGGUAACCAAAUACCCACAUUACUCUGCACCAUCUGGGUCUGAUAACGGCUAUGUGAAAUUUGAUGGGUUAAGCCUUCAGAAGAGCUCAGAUCUCAUCCCUUUCUGAGGAAUACGCUGCAAUAACACUUCUGCUUAAAAAUAACAUUUAAGGAUAUGAACUUGAAUACCUUUCACAAGUUUUAAAGCUCUUAAUACAAAUACAGUAACCUCAGUGAGAUGGUAAUGGAGGGGUGAGGGUUUUAUUAUGCCUGGAGCUCAUGUCUGAGCCUUUGUGCAUCCCCUGGGAAAGGCUUUUCUUCCUUCCUGGAAUGUGUUCCCGGUGUUGCCUUGCAGCAGACUCAGCUGGGAGUGGAGGGAAUGCAUUGUCACCUUAAAAUAAGGUAAAAUCCCAUUCUUGCUUAGUGUGGUGAGCAUUACUGAUGCUUAGUUACCCAGAAAGAUCUGUACAAUUCCAGAUGGCAGUACUUGAUGCAUUAAUGCCUAGGCAGGUUUAGGUAUAAGCAAAGCAUCAGCUUUGAAAUCUUCUAAUUCUGGCUUGAGAUUUGCCAGCAAGUUGUUAGACAAUGUUACUGUGUGAGUGGCUUGGCUGUGUAUGAAGGAUCUUUGUAAGACGUUGCUGUUUAUUUAAUAUUCCAAAGUGUCAUCAUAAGCAAUGUGUUCUCCUCCCAAGUGCUGCAUGCAUUAAAUCUAACCAAUCUACAUGGUUUUCAAAGGCCAACGCUUCUGAGUGAAACAUGCAAGAGAGAUGCAUGGAGUUUUUGGGUUGGUUCAGAAGAUCUGAGCUCAGCAUGUCUAACAAAUGAGUAACUCUAAGAACUCAGUGAGGCUGUUCUUGUCACUUAAGACUAUGGCAAGAAAAACCACCUUUGUUUUAAAGUGGAGAUAGCAUGUGGGUGCAUUAACUGCAGUCUUACGUCUGCAAGUGUCAAUGGUCCCAGUGGAAGAGGACCUGAAUGCCUUGUAGCAGCUGAACCUGUGUGCAGUGGGCUGACCUGGCUGCUGUUCGGAAGGUUGUCGUUCUUGCAUCACUGCUUCCAGCAAGGUGUGCUCCAUUUGUGUGGGGGAACGGGGAUAACGUGGAGCUUUAAUGAAUGCCUUUCAACUGCUGAUUUAUUAGGGUUGUUUCUGACUGACAUAUGGUAUGACAUACGGCGCUAUUUACCACCUCCGUGUCUGAACUGACAAGGAAAUGAUUUAUUUAUUUAUUUGACAUUUAACUCCAUUAAGUACUCAUAGGCAUCAUCCAGCAGUACCCUGGCCAAGUCAAUUUACAGUUUGCUUUUCUUUUGUUUAUCCCAUCUGCUUGUGAGUGUUUGUUUUCAUUGGCCGGGCGGGCUGAUGAGAAAUUGCUCUGUAGUAUGGAGUCAAGCGUUGUAUCUUCUUUCAAAGUCAUCCUGUUUCUCUCCAGAAUCAAGGAAAAUAAUGUGAAACGAGGCAUCUUAAAACCUGUGACAGCACCACAGCCUGCAGGGCUCUGGGCACAACUCCCAGCGCCGUAGCAGGAGCUGCUGGGUUUGCUGUCUUCCAGUGCUGCUGUGCAACCACUGCACUGAGGAUGCUCUUUGUCUUUAUUGCUGCUAUCUCAACAACUGCUUUAAGGAUUCUACUUAAGCAGAUGUGUGGCUGUGUAUACACAUGAAGGUAAGUGGAACAAAUGCUUGAGUAUGGGUUUGUACAGAGAGAGGUGAAGAAAGGUCUUGAUAUUAGUGAUGUAGAAGGGCUUGUGUUGGCAUUGCCCAGCUUCUAUGAGAUAGGCCAAUUUCUUCUGUGGAUUCUGCAGUUUUCCAGCAAGAGGAAAGCAGUGUGAAUGUACACAAACAGUUUGAGGAGUUCUCUUUGCUCUGAUUCUACUUUUCUCUUCCCCGUUCUCAUUGGGAACAGCCUGAUUGAAGUGUGGGCAUACAUUUCCAUUCAAGCUGUCAGAAUUUCUUGCUACCUGUCACACUUCCCUUCCAGUAGUCAGCUACCUUGUGAACAUUCAUGUUGAGAGAAAGCAAUUCGUGUUUUCCUUCCCCCUCGCUAGACACUGUUUUUAUUUCCUGCUCACAAAAGUAAUGCUUACUCUAAGCAAGUAAACUUAUUUAGGGUGUUAAAACAACUGCAUUUUCUUCUUACUGCAUAGGUGAUAGAUAAAUUGCAAGCAAAUAGCUUCUGGCUUCCAACAAUGUCCCAAAUUUCUCCUCUGUCCCAGUGAGAUGAGCUCAUUCUGGAAUGUUAAAUAUUGGUACUUUGAUGUAUUUAAUGCAAACUGUACAGAGCAUGUAAAGAGGGUUUGGUGUGGGGUUGUUGUUGCUUUUUGCCAUUGGAGUUAUUAGGCUUUCCAUGAUGUCAGGCUCUUUCUCACAACAGAGGAAGAUAUUUUCUAUUUAUAUGAAGCUUUGCAAAGAUGAAGAGGUUCAAAACUGAAAACUCUGCGUGUCAUUGAAAAUUCUCUUAACCUUUCCAUUAUAAAUCAUUUUAAUGUAGGUGUGUAUCUAAAGGGUAACACAAGGCAGGGAAGCAAAUGUAGGUGGUGUGGUCUGGUGUAAGCGCUUUCAUCCACGGGUUGACAAUGGAGCCCCAGGAUUUAGUGGGGAUAUUGCUUUAAGUAGAACCUCUGGUGCCAUAACACUGGUGAUGCAGUGACAUUAAUUUCUCUGUUCAUCACGAGGUUUCUAAUUCUGAAAUGGGUGUUGGUUGAGCCCUGAUUUCCUCAAACAGAACCUGAAGGUUGAAUUGGAACUUUGUCUUUUCUGAUGUUGUGAAAACGACCUGAAAGGUUAAAAAAAAAACAACCCAAAACAACACAGAGUUGUCAAAUUACUUUUCAUUAAGCAAACAAAAAAUGACCCCAAACCAAAAUACACACCCGCUUAUUUAGCCUGUGUUUUUUAGAAGCUCUCUUAGGUUGAUUUUGUUGUCUUUAAUAUAAAAGGGAGAUGAAAUGUCCAUGUUUUGGAAAUGGUGAUUAAUCCCUCUGAAGUGUCUUUAACAAACCCUGCUUUGUUUUUGAUGUCCAUCCUUUGGAGGAAGUGUUGGCAGAGCAGUUGAAGUUUUCCCUUCUUUUGAUGUCUGAGCGUCUGAGAUCUCUUCAAAAUCACUUUUACUUUCAAUAGUCCCAAGCACUGCUAUGGAACGACAUGAGCAGAGAAAGCAAAUGACUGAUGAGCGAGAUUUGCUCAAGGAUUUGUCACUUAGCCAAAAGAUAAAACUGGUUUUCCACCACUCGUGUUUCUGUACAGAUGCCCCAUGUCAGCCUAUGGGCUAUGAAAUCAAUCACAUGCCUGUAGUUGUGCAGAUCUGCUUGGCUUUAUUAUUGCCCUUAGCAAAGCUAAGGAUGCAGGUAUGUGAAGCACUUCUGUUGAAACCAUUUUAUUUUAUACCAGUUAAAAAAUAGAGGGCUGUAAAUGUACAGUGUAAAUUCUUUGGGGGGGGGGGGGGGGGGCAUAUGUGCAGUCCAGAGGGGAUGUUUGUUCUCUUUUAAGUGUGCUCCAAGGAGAGCAUGAAGGUAGGGCAGCAUUGCUGCCUGACUUCUUUCUGCAUCUGUGUGAGGGCUCAGUGUUCUCCUGCGUUUCAAGCUAGCCACAGUUCUAGUGCAGGCUUUUGUUUCUGAGCAGUAACACCCUGAGUUUGAGUGGUGUUUAAAUGUGAUGUGCCAAUAGAGGGUGUCUGUAGUUUUAAUUCUGUCGAUAAUAUAUUAUACACCACAGAUUUUCAGGGAUGGGGGUAUAGGAUGGAGCCUUUGACUCUCUUUUACCCAUGCUGUUUCUGACAGUUGAAAUGUUAUUGACCAAACACGUGUUUAUGUUUGUCCAGCAGGAAUAUACUUUUCCAUGAGACCUGCCACCUGUUCCAUUUCUUCUGCAUCUGUGGAUUUAUUUUGUUUCCUUCCGGGUGGACUUGCUCUUAUUUUUAAUGAGACCUGUAGUAGAUGAUUGAUAGCUUGCUUUCUUUAAAAUGCCUUCCACCAAUUCAUUAUGUAAUAUAAUGGCACUGGAAGCCUUGAUACAAAUACAAUUUAAAGCAACCUACUGCUAUGGGACCUCUUCCAUUUUUCCCUUUGAUAGACUUGCUGAGUAUUUGGCUGAUGCAGCUUCCAUUGCCAGCAGAGGAGUUUUUUAACUCUUCCUCCAACAGGUUUGAUGCAGUGCAGUGCUGUGACUGUGGUUGUGCUCUGGCAUGGCCAACGUGCAGUUUUAUUGCCAUGUAACAAUCUCCUCCUCUUUCAUAUUGUGUAGUUAUCAUAUUAAGCUGUGAUCCAUCAAGCUAGCUCAGCUGCAACAGGAGAUUAUCAUCUUCCCAGUGCUCCCUGCUGUCCCCUCAGGCCUGCUGCUCUUUGUGUGCACUUGUUGUCACUCCUUAACCCAAUUCUGCCAAAGUGCUCUAGGUUAGGAACGCAGUAGCAGUGGUGCUUAUUGUAACUGGAGCGACUUGAGAAGUCCAGGGAUGGAGCUGGAGCUGCUGCUGUGGCCUCAGGAACCAAAGCAGCAGUGAUACCAGGGAUGUUAGGAGUGACAUCAGUGAGGAUUGCGUUUGGUUUCAGGCUGUAUCCUGCAGCGGUGGUAGCUGUGCUCCUGCUGGCUUAAAAAUGGAUUUGAAGUUGUUCAGCUUCUAUGAAGAAACCAGCACCAAAAUCAGCAACAGGGGCAGUUAAGGGAUGUCCUCGUGCUGUGAUGGAGGUGAGACAGGAAAACUAGAGGGAAUCCAACCCCCAUCUCUCCUUACGGACAGAAGUUUGCUAACAGCUCUGGUCUUUGCUGUAUUAACUAAAGCAAUGUACAUCUUGUAUUUUGUAGUGAACUGGCUGAAGAAGUUAUGUUGUGACUGUGGAUGUCUGAGCAAUAUGUUGCCUUUUAAAACCAGCAUGGGUGCUUGUUGCAAAGCUAUCUCGAUUAACCUGCAUUUCAUGGCAGGGGAGCUACAAUUCCUUCAGCCUGCCAUCAUUCACCAUCCUGGAGAAGUGGAUGUUAACAGUCACUCUGGUUUAAGUACCACCUUUCCUCUGAUCUGGAGGGGCAGAGGUUAUUCAGGAGAGGAGACUUGAGCUUAGCAGAACAGUGUGAUGAGUGAAGUGCACUGCUGAACGUGGAUCUGGUUGGAAGCUCCUUGUGAAUAUGGGGCAAGAAAACUGUUCUGAAAUGGUUUUCCUCACAUUUUAAAGUAAAUUGCUUUAAGUGAUAGCCUCAGUCAUUGAAACGAUGGAAGACUGGGACUGAAGAUUGAAGGUUUCUCUAUCCGUGCUGGUUUUGCAGCUUGGUUGUUGGUUUUUGUCAUCCUUCUAAUAUUCAAGGUUAUCCCCUCUUACCACCCAUUGUCUUGACCAUCAUUCUGUUUUCUGCAAUCUUUGUGUCUCCUAACAAAGUAAAAGCUUGUUCAUUCCUCCCCAGCUUUGCUGUGAUUUGUGCUGUCUCCUGUGAUGUCACCUGUAGUGAAGAGUGCUCGAGUCCUGUGUUGUGCUGCUCAGAUCUUGGCUGUGAAGCUCUCUGCAAUGGUGACAAAUAGAGUUAAUCCCCUUUUACAAGUAGGCAGAAUGAACUUCCCUGAAGCUGAUUGUAAUCAGCCUUAGAUCUGGGCAAAAUACUUUUGAUCUGAGACCCUUCUCCAGUUAUUCAUCUGGUAGGCAACAGGGAGUACGUAUGGCCACCACCCUGACAUGCCACCCUGCACUAUGUGUGUGUGCAUCCAUUGGAUGGUGCUGAAGAUCUGUUCUGAGUUUCUGUUGACAGAGCCUUGGAAGUUGGUCCAUCCCUUCUCUUUAGUGUCACCAAUGCCUGGGCCACAGUGCUUGUUGCUUCCCCCUCCUUCCUUCUAUAUGAACCAAGUUUUGGUGCUUACAUUGUCUGGCCAUGCCUCUUUAAAUAUAGAUUAUUUUAUCUGACAAACCCUACGUUUUGGCUGCACCUUCAGGAGCUUGUGUGUCUGAGAGGAGGUCACCACUUGAGCGUGAGAAAAAGUGGUUGAUUGAAUUGCAAAAGAGCACACUUGUCUCUUUGGAUUCCUCUGAGCACAGCCGUACGUUACGUGUAAGGCUGCUCUGCAUUGGCCCCAUGCAUCUGGCAAGCACAAAUGGAAGCGGGCAGUACAGCCAGAGCAUUGUACUUGUUCUCCUUAGUGCUGUGUCCUGAAGGCUGGUGUGUGUUUAGAUUUCACUCGUUAUAUCAUGUUAAAUUUAAUCAAAUAUGUGGGGAGUAGCUUUCUGUAGCCCUUUUUAUGACAGUGUUUUUCAUGGCGUAGGAUUUUUCACCUUAUAUUCAUGUUGAAUAAUUCAUGGCAUUAAAAAGUUUACGGUGAGGCAGAAUCGUUUGUGCCCUGAAGCAAAUACACUAAAAAUGCAAACUUUGGAUCCCACCAGAGAUACAUUUCUGUUCAACACAUUGUAGUUGUGAUCCACGUUUCAUAAACGUUGCAGUGGAGAUGUCAGACCAAAGCAGCAGUGACACUUCAUGGUAUGUCAGUGCAAAGUGGUUGCCUCCAUUACAGAUGGAAGUAGAAGAACAUGUAUUAGAAUGGAACAAGGUACAAAGGUGGAAAUGUUUGUCACCAAUGUGUCUUGUUUCCCUGUGUUGUUUAAAUUGGAAGGUCUUUGACAGUCCCCAUCAUACUGUUACCCUUCAUUAGUACUCACUGGAGUUUAACAGCUCCAAAUACUUUGGUAUGCAAGAUGUGUAUUCCUUUCACUAAGACCAUCUGUUUUUUAAAUGCAGAAGUAGUGCUGUGUGCCUCAAAAACUUAACCUACAAAAUAAGCAGUAAGAUGGAGCCUCUGAAAAGGGUAUUUCUUCAAUGAAAACCCAAGGCUGGAAGUCAGACGUGGGUUAUAGUCUUGAAGUUAGUGCUGAAUUGCUUGUGAUUUUUGGGCAGCUCUUCUGUGGGUUGAUAACUUGACCCCACAAAAUGGAUGGGGCAGUGAAGGAUUGACCAAAAAAAGGAAGAAAACCCAACAUAUCACACUCAAACACAGAAAGGGAAAGAAUUAUACGGUUAAUUAGUGUAACAUUUGCAAAAGACAUGAGAGAUCGUUAGAAACAGGAUGCUUAACACUUGAAUACUGAGCAUUUCAAAACGACUUUCUCAUGUAGAUUUGAUGCUGACAUACACCCCCCUGGGCUGAAGAUGCUGUCAUUAACUGAGAGCUGAAGCUGUCGCUCUUUGCUAACCGGUGCUAAGUACACCGGUAACAACGCGUUGUCAAUGGCAGGAAGGUCUCUGAGCUCUUUGAUGUCUUGUUGCUUCUCUGAUCCAAGUGGAAUUCCCACAUAUUGCCUUAUGUGCGUCAGUUCCGUGGGCUCUUUGUGGGAGCCGGGCACCCUGUGGGUCUGAGUCCCCCCAUGGGUGCAGGGCAGUGCCCAGGCUGCGCCCCAACGGGACCAAAGACCCCUAAGUGGAAAUGGAGUUAUUUGGCUGUUUGUCUUUGAGGAUCUACGAGCAAGCUUGUUGGAUUAUAGUAAAACUGAACAACUUAACAGCUGUGCUGAGCUUGUGUGCAUAACCAGUUUCUCAGCAGCAGCUACCUUUAACUUUCCAAAGGCCUGAUUUCGAAGGCUGUCUCUAGUUAGCAUGCUCCUCCUUUUCCUUUCAUUGCAUGUCGAUGCGUUGGGUUAAGUAUCUUAUUUCAGCCUCUCGCUGGAUCCAACAGUCCUGUUGACAAAAGUGGAAAUCUUUCUGGAGGGCGGUACUGGAGCAGUGGAUGUGUUAAGCCUCUUGCUUUCCCCCCUCUGCCUGCAGUUUUAAUUCCAAAUCAGCAUCCUAUCCAAAUCUGCUAUUGCAUUUCGUUAAUCCUAAGAAGCUGGGGAUUUUUUUCUCUCCUCUAGAGGAAUUUUAAUUGUUUUUUUGGUAACACACAUGUAAAAAAGAAAUAAGAAAAAAAAUCCCUCUUCCUGCAGUGUGAGUUUGAAGCCAUUGCUAUUGUCAGCUCUCAGUGGGUUACUUGAGUAUAAAUAAAUUAAAGGUGGGGGGAGUGAUCUUUUGUUAACAGUGCAUUCUGCUUCUUGUGGCUGCUAUGGUAACAGAUGAGGGAGAGACAUGCUUGCAUGGUAAAGCUUAAUGGCAGAGCGGCAGAAUGUAGUGAGGAAUUUAGCUGGAGGAAGAAGGGAAGAGAGCCCAAAUCCUUUAGCAGCGCUGUGAAGUGAGUCACCGAUGAAGGCAGAUGGGAAAGGACUUCUACGUUUAUUUACAAAUGGUUUAAAUCAGGUUGUGUUGGUUAUAUUUAGAGCAGGUGGAGGGGCAGCUUUGGGGAGCAGUGAAUUAGGAGGUGCUGUUGUUGUUGUUGUUUCCUAAAUGGAACCCUGAAUGCCUUUCCUGACUCAGGACCUUGCCAACAAAAGUCAGCAUUCUGCCCCCAGCCUUCGGGGUUUCUGGAGCACAGAAUGUUUUCUGCAGGAACUUCACCUGAAGGUUUAGCACUGUGGAUGGUGUGCAAUGGCUCCCCAGGUUAGUAAACGCAUCACUGUCAGCAAACACAGCCACACAGUGUGACGUUCACAGCUGUGAAGUUUUAAAUGAUGCGGAGUAUUCAGAAGUGUGUGGGGGGAGGAGUGGGGAAGGGAAGCUGAGGGGAAGGGUUUGCAAGAACAAGUGAAAUGUAGGGUCUGUUUGGUGUGAGGAUGUUUAGGAGAAAGAGGGGCAGUAGGAUUGUUCUAUUAUUUUAGAGGAGAGGUGGAAAACGUGGGAGAAGGAUGAAGGAUGUUGCAUGAAGAGCAUUUUGGCCGUGCCAGAGGCUCAAAGAACCAAGCAGCACUUACCUGCUGCUCUGAAUGGGGGGGAAGUUGGUACUGUGAGUGCUACUUCCUUCUUUACAACUGGAGUGCUGGAGGAGGAAUUGAACAAGAUACAGAAGACAGAAAAAUGCCUUCUUUAUUUUAGAUGCUAUUGGACCAAAGUGCCCUUGUGCACCCUGGAGGGGCAUCCCAGCAUGGUGUGCUUUUGGAGAUGGCAGCUGCACCUCCCUAAGUUUGCAUCUAUGUUGUGCUUUUGUCAGGCAUGGAUUUCUUUAAGGAGGCAGGCCAACAUGACAUGUCUGUGUCAGAGCUUGGUGUUGGCUUUUUCAGUUCGUUUUGGUGUUACUCUUCCUGCCUGUAGUGGGAAGCACAGCGCCUGCACCUGCUUCAUGAGAGCAGAAAUGGAUGGUGGUUGGAAUGGGGUGGGAGAAGAAAAAAACAGUUUUUGUGCAUUCUCCAAAGCUGUGCAGUGUUGUAAAUGCCAGGAAGUUACAUUUGGGCUUUCAGUGUGUUCUGUGAGCUUGUUAAGAUCAGUACUCUGUCACUGCCAUGCAGGGAAUAUGCCCUUACUGUCCUCAAGAGUUUGCAAAAGAAGCCCACUUCUAUAAAGUGAUAGCUCUGUGGGACCGUAUCUAUCCUUUAUGAUUAUCACAACCUCUGGGGAGAGAUGGAGCAGCUCUAUAAAGGACCACUCAUUUCCAUUUCAGGACAGGCCUGGCAAAUAGGAUGUGAGAGAAAUUCCUUUGGGUCCUUUACAGCCUAAUUCUGGUGAAGAGAACAGCCUUAUUUUGCAGGCUUCCGUGGCCCUGCAGGAUAAGGCUGACAGACUUCUCUGUAGGUUUUUUUCCUACAAGCCAUCCAUGUGCCUGUACAUCUUUGUUAGCCUUGGAAAUAAACUUUUGUCAUCAUUUAAAGGAAAGCCCUAUGAAAUGAUGCUUUUCAAGCAGCGCUGUUGUGUAGGUGAUGGUAGCACCUUAGGUUAUUAAAACCAGUUUGCUGUUUCCUUUCUCAGUUUCAGUUGUGUGAAGGAUGUUUCAUCCCUAGGCACCUUUUCAUUUUCUGCUCCAUAAACCAACAUAACGCUGACCGGCUGAGUUGAACAAGAGGCACCUCAUUAAAGGUGAUGGUGAACUGAAGGUGGAGUUGGGGUUAUUUCCUUCCCUUGACAAAGUGGUCCCUCUUCCCUUAUGUGAUGGCUGUGGGAUGGACCACAGCCAUGUGCUAGUCCUGGCUGCAGGGCUAAGGAGUGAAACCAUGUGUUUGGAGGGCUGGAGUGAGGCAGAAGAUGGCAGCUGCUUGCAGCGUUAGUGUUAGAAGUGGUGUUUUACUGAGUGCUGCUGGGAGUGCUGUGAGAUAAGGGAGUUGUCUCCAUUUUGGAUUUGAAAGGGCAAAAGUAUAGGAAGGGGGAAAAGCUGUAUUCAUUUAAAGUCAGUGGGACGUAGAAAUGCUCAGUGGAGUCUUUUCUUAGCCAAACAAAAUGAGUCUAGUGGCUGCCAUAGCACAGGGCUCCUUCAGCUGCUGCAUGGGCUCUGCUUGGGUUUCUAGCAAGAGUCAUUUGGGUGUCAUUAUAAUGCUGGUAAUGAGCGGAACAAAGUGGUUCCCACAGAAUUUCUUCAGUUCUGAGUAAUUGUUCCAAACAAAAUCUACUGUCUUUUUUUUAAUCUGCCUCUGUUGGAAAGUGUCAUUUUGGACGUUUACUGCAGCACUUUGUGAUUCUGAUUUUUGGCUGUUGUUGUUGGAAUGAAGGCACAGCGCAGUGUGUGAUGGAUGCAGACUCAUUUGUUUUGAAGUUUGUUUGUAUUGACAGCUCAGUUCCAACUCUUUGGACUAAGAGACAUCUCCAGUUGGGUUUGGAUCUGUUGUAGUAGUGUGACUUGUUGGACUGUGGGUUUUGGCAGGCUUGGUGUCCUGCUGGCUGGAAGGAAAAGCUGCUGGUAAUGCAGAAUGAGGCAUUGUAUGGAAGAGAUGGAGGAUUGCCCACCAAUGGGUCAGCAGCCACCCAUGUGUUCUGAGGGUGCUGAGUCUCCCAGCUCUGUGCUGGUGCCCCUCAUGGAGUGCAGCACUCAGGGCAGCUCAUCCAGGGAUGGACACACAGCUGCUGUGUGCUGACAGCUCCGGGGUUGGAUGAGAGCAGCACAAAGCAAUACUCUGAAUCUUUUCAAAUCAUCUGAAAUGUGGCUGGACAACUCAAUGCCUUUAAUAGCCAUCUCUUCUACAGAAGGGCAGUGACUAUUUUUAGCUCCUUGCUGUCACUGACCUCUAAUACAAGAGAGACACUACAGAAAAAGCAUUCAUCACCAUAGUGUUACUGUUGCUCUCUAAGUACAAAGGUGAUUCCCAUUUACUUGGUUUUUGUGUAAUAUAGAAGCAUAGCUAAACACCUGGGAAGCCUUCUUACAAGAAGAGAAGCCUAGUAGCUGCAGGUAGCAGACUGGAGCUGUAGUAGAGAGGUGUACAUCAUAUGUGAGGCACAUAUCAUGUAUUAAUUUAUUUAUUAUCAAAGGGUGUGAUUAUUUACCAGGUGUUUUCCUGUGCUUAGCACAGAUUACAGUUGUGAUGCCCCGCAGAUGUCAUGUUACUCUCAGCAUAGAGUUGCUGACUGUCUCAGUGGUAUCGAAUAUGAAGAUGGAAGACAAGACUUCUUUCCCUUUGUAUGAAGGCUUAUUGCAUAUCUUUCACAAAAGAAAGACGGGGAGCAGCAGCAGUUUUCAUAAUGACUGAAUGACCUAACAUCCUUUUUAAAAGGCAACUUCAUUUCUUAAUGUAAAUUUCAUGCAUUUCUCGGAUAAAACACACUCACCAGUUCCUUAUAAUACCUCUAAUGAGGGCCAGAUGUGUUUUGUUGCUACAAAACUGAGGCCAUAAUGCAGAAAGGCACAUGCAGUGCAGCCCUUUGUAGCACAAAAGAAGUGUCUUGCUCAGACAGAAGAACAGAAGUUCUUCCAAGGCCUGAGUAUUGACUUGCAGUGAUAAUUUGCAGGUGACAUGCUAACAGGUAGCUUUGAUCCGUUAGCCUUUAUGCUGUUGUGCUUUGUUCAAUGGUGUGUUAAAAAUACCUGAAGGAAGGAGAGAGAGACGGAAAUAAUUUUAAGUCACUGAGCUGUGUGCUGUAGGAUGUCCUGGGCUGGGAAAAGGGUUCCUGCAUUGCUGCUCAUGGAUGGUGAGGGUGGAUAAAACUAUAGCUGGGCCUGCAAAGAAAACAAUAUGAGCAGUGGUGGGUUUGUAUUAUUUAUUUAUUCUAUGGGAAUUUGUAAUAUCAGCUGGCCUCUUGCUGGCUAAAGCUGGCCUGUAACUGGGCAGGCACUCGUCCCAGCAGCUGUGAGUCAGGAUGGCACUUGCAUCUUGGUGUUGUGCAGCUGUGGAGGAAAGCAGAUUGUACAGAAGUGCCUGAUCUGGCUUAGGAGUAACCCAUGAGCAUGUUAGGAGUAACCCAAAGAGAUGCUGCUGGUCAUCUCUUUGGACUUAAGUUCCUGUUUGGCCUCCCCUCUGCCAGCUGCUCUUGCAUCUCCCUGUCGGCUCUCAGCUAACCCAGUGCAACUAUUUCUGGAAAUAUGCAAUGAACUGGUUCAGUGAGCAGCAAAAAUAACCACUGCGGGGAAAGAAGGCGGGGGGCCUUAAUUUUCAACCUGGUUUAUUUCAUUGCCUGGAUUAUCUUUGUGGCCGAGAUAAGGAACUGCACCUCUAUGGGCAUUUCUACACAACAGAGCUGUCUGACUGGGAUAACGCAUUUAGAAGGCUGUGAUGCUCCCACGUAGAGUGGUGGUAUGGACUGUGAUGCAAACUGUUAGUCAAUGGGAAUGAUAGAAAAGAAGCAUCUGUUUAUACACACACACACACGAGGGCAGUUUGCUGCUGCCAUGCUGAGCUCUGAGUGUGCCUUUCCUUCCUGUGCUCGCUGCUGUUGGAGGGGCAGCUCCUUCUGGAGGUGUGCAGAUGAGGUGGGAGGGCUGUGAUUAAAAGGAGCAUCUCUGCAUCUGUGGGUGCACGGAAUGUAAACCAUUCAGGUGUGCUUCUGAGAGUCACGCUGGCUUUUUGGCUCGCUUGCCAGUUGUGCAGAAGUCAAAGUUAUCUUUUGAAUGAGAUUCAUCUCAAGUGAAUGGGUUUGUUGUUUUUUUUUUCAUCGCUGAAGUUAUCAGAGACUCCUCAGAAAGCUGAUCCGAUGUAUGAGUGCCUGUAAGCCCUUCAGCACCAGAUGAAAUGCUCUCUGAGAAGGCAGCUCUCUGUUGCCUUGGGGGUCUGGCUUGAUGGAUUGCAUCUGGGGACUGAAAUGUCACGCUGAUGCUUUCUUCAGGCAGUGACAAUGGCUUGCAUGUUGUCACUGUGCACUGCGGUCGUGCAUUAAGCCUACUGCAGCCCUUGUAAUACCGAGGGAGAAAUGGUCAGACUGCUGGAGCAACAUGAGGGUUUGUUAAGACCUGCAUCUCUAUGGCUGGGAAUCACUGUGCCUUUCCAAGGGGAGCCCUGCAGGGUGGGCAUGCAGAGCUCGGAGGUGUUCUGCUGCAGAGGCAGCUCCCAUGGUGGACUGCUGUUGUGUUCUCAGCAGGCUUUGAGUGCUAUAUUGGUGUUCUUUGAGGUAUGUUUUCUUUGAGUAACUUUCCCCAGACUCUCCUUGCCUACCCCCAGAACAGACUGUUUAUUUUUGGAGGAACACCUGUAUGCAUAGGAGCAUGGAGGCAUCAAUAUUGUCAUAGUAACCAGAACAGCAGUGCUGGCUUCCAGCCAGAAGGUAGGGUGAAUCACGGCCCGAAUGUGGGUGUUUGGAAAUGACUUCACUUCUGAGCCUUCUGCAGUUGAAUGAAGGAGUGUUUGUGUUUGGUUUGUGUUGUUUUCCUCUCUCCUUUCCCCUGGGGAGGUAUUUUGAAUGUUGUAAUUCCCUACAGAUCCAUUUUUACUUCUGCCAUUUCAUAGGUAGGAAGGAUGCUCUCAAACUGUGCCCCGCAUCUGAGCAGUAAAUACAGCUCUGCACGGUGAAUGUUUCUAUUGGCUUCAUUUCAGCUUAGCUGUAAAUUCAAAAAUAUGAAACCUGUGCAUGGAGUUUUGAAAUGCAGCAAUUUGACUUAAUUGUGGUUGAGUUUGAGAGCAGGUUUGGAUACAGUGUGUGUGUGAAUGCAGUCUCUGUGUGGGACAGAAGAAUGUGAUAAUUGCAGAUCAGGGUUUUCUAAGCAUGGCUUCAGUUUCUAUAAAUUCUGUUUGUGCCUGUGCUGAAAUCGUGUGUUUGUAUAUUGAUUGAAGGCAAAGCUGAGCAUGCAUAUCUACACACAAGUGCAGAUGUGAGCAGCAGGACCACGUUCAACACAGUUGUUUCAUUGUAUGCUGAGGCUCAUCUGUUUACAACGUGUGCAACUGAGAGAGAUGAGGUGUGGGGGAGAGGGGAAGGAAGCCUCUGCGGCCCUCGAGGGCUUUAUGAAACAUCUCUCUGUAUCCUAAGGUGCCCCAAAAUGCUUUUUCUCACACAUGAAUUGGUCUGUGUGGGUUUUUUUUUUUUUUGCCCACCUGCUAUUACAUUAGUGUUUUUUUUUAAGAGUUUUUAGGUUUCUGAGCAAAGUAAUGCUUUGGUGCUGCAGAGAGUAUUCAGUUCUGAGUUCAGCUGCCGUGUUCUGAUCUGUCUUCUUUCUGGCUGCUUUCCUGUACCUGUUCCCUUCAUGCACAGCUCAUGGCAAAGGGUCCCAGCACCUUUCUGGCCUCAGUGGAGCUCUGCUUGAGCACAAGGAACUCUAUCAUAGCACAGAUGCAGAGCUUAUGAUGCACAGGGAAAAGUGCAGCUGGUGAUUGCACUCUGCUGACAGCUGGAAAUCAUCCAGCAUUGUCACUUUGGUGAGGUUGGAGUUUUGGGGCUCCUGUAUGGAUCAUUUUCCAGCUCUAAAAUGGGCUGAACACUGGCAUAACACUGCUGAGGAGCAUCAUAGCAGAAUGCUAUUUUGAUUGUGGAGCAAAGUGGCAGAAUAUAAAGCAUUGAUGUACUUGUAUUGUUUGCCUGUUAGUCAGCUGGGAGCAAGGCUAGUCAAUACUUUUAGUAUGAAAGUAAAUAUUGGAGCGUGAAUUUAGCAAGAGACAGAAAUUGUGACAGGUACUUGUUCCUUCCUGCAAACUUUAGAUAUGUAAUGAACUCGUUAAGUGCAAACAGACCAUCAAACAGCCCAAACCAUCCCUGGUUAGAAGAAGAGGGCUCUUUGAAAUAUCUAACUGUAAAAUCAAGGCAGAGAAUGAGCUGUGCUUUGUCCCUUGGUAACCAGUUUCAACAGCAUAGCAGUUGUGCUGGAUAUAGCUUUAUGCAGACAAGUUCUUCUGCAAAGCUUUGUUUUUCUUUAUCUCUGAGGCUGCUGCGCUUAGAAUCCACUCGUUUCAGCCGUUCAGAACCUAAAUGUAAGCUUGAAAAGCUCCACUUGCUUUUGUACAGCCAAAGCAAGGGCAACAAUAGCAAAAACCCUUUUGAAAGGUAGGUUAGAGAUGCUUGUGACCUGAUUGCACUACUUAAAAUGGGGACUGUUGGGCUUUUUUUCUAUGCUAAUUCUAGGUAAAACUGUUACCUUUGCUUCCCUACACAGGGAACUUAACUGAUCUUUUUUCCUUGUACUGAGUCCUGAAGCUCUCACUAACAACGUUCAGUCACUGGAGCAGUGUAAUGGGGUUAGCAACCACCCCCUUUGCCCUAACUGCACACUUACCAUUUGGAUUCUUGUCUCUGGCCUUCCUCUGCAGCUGGUGCAGAUGAAUAAGCACCUCCCAGGGUGACAAAUAUGACCUGCCUUUAAUGCUUGCCUUAGGGUAAUAUUAAUUCCUCCCUCCAGCCCCCCAGCAGUGGUGUCAAGUUAUUUUUCCCCCAAUGACUAUAAAUACAAUCUGGAGCUGAGUGCAUUGCCCUUAAAUUUCUGUCACAAACAGCACUAAAUGUGUGGCUCAAAAGAAAAGUCAUCCUGGUAGCUGAGAGCACUGCUUGCAGGUGUAGAGGAGCUGCUGGGUGGUGGCUGAACUGGUGAUUGAGCACCUGGAGAAGGGCAGCCCAGGGAGCUCAGGCCAAGUGCUUACACCUGUGCUGCCCACCUGGGCAGAAGGGGUGGAGCCUCCGGGCUCAUAUAAAGGCCAACCACUGCAGGGAGAGCAUCCCUUGGGGCUGGGCUGCUGUGGGGGAGGAGUGCUGCGUGGCUGGAGGUCCUGUUCAUCUGCUGGGUGAGUUCAACAUUUCUUUCUGUGUGUGGCUGUUGGCCUCCCUGCGAGUGCAUUGCCUGUGUUGCAGGA